GAAUUUUCACCUAAAUGUUCCGAACUUCGUUCCAAAGUUGGCAAAUUUGUUGCAAAAUUCGAAAGUUGCCAAGAUUUGUUGCGAAGUUCAAAAGAAAUCAUAUUCACAAACCGGUUUGUAAACUAAGCCUUUGGUUGGCUUCUUUUAUUUCUGGACCAAUCAGGGACAUACAAAUCAGCUUGCCGAAUUUUAAUAUGAACUUUCGAACUUUGCAACAAAUUGGCCAACUUCAAAACGAAGCUUGGAACAUUUACGUGAAAAGUC